AGGUAGAGGAAGGUAGUCCUGCUCCUCUCUGUGUCAUGGUGAGGAGGUAGAGGAAGGUAGUCCUGCUCCUCUCUGUGUCAUGGUGAGGAGGUAGAAGAAGGUACUCCAGUCUGGUUGUUGAGGGCCUGCUCCAGUAGGGCUCGUUGUGCCACGGAGGGGAGGUAGAGGAAUGCGUAGAGCAGCCCCAGGACGAUGAGAGACAGGAGGAGGGGCAGUCCCCAGUCUGUUGUCAUGGUGAAGAGGUAGAGGAAGGUACUCCAGUCUGGUUGUUGAGGGCCUGCUCCAGUAGGGCUCGUUGUGCCACGGAGGGGAGGUAGAGGAAUGCGUAGAGCAGCCCCAGGACGAUGAGAGACAGGAGGAGGGGCAGUCCCCAGUCUGUUGUCAUGGUGAAGAGGUAGAGGAAGGUACUCCAGUCUGGUUGUUGAGGGCCUGCUCCAGUAGGGCUCGUUGUGCCACGGAGGGGAGGUAGAGGAAUGCGUAGAGCAGCCCCAGGACGAUGAGAGACAGGAGGAGGGGCAGUCCCCAGUCUGUUGUCAUGGUGAAGAGGUAGAGGAAGGUACUCCAGUCUGGUUGUUGAGGGCCUGCUCCAGUAGGGCUCGUUGUGCCACGGAGGGGAGGUAGAGGAAUGCGUAGAGCAGCCCCAGGACGAUGAGAGACAGGAGGAGGGGCAGUCCCCAGUCUGUUGUCAUGGUGAAGAGGUAGAGGAAGGUACUCCAGUCUGGUUGUUGAGGGCCUGCUCCAGUAGGGCUCGUUGUGCCACGGAGGGGAGGUAGAGGAAUGCGUAGAGCAGCCCCAGGACGAUGAGAGACAGGAGGAGGGGCAGUCCCCAGUCUGUUGUCAUGGUGAAGAGGUAGAGGAAGGUACUCCAGUCUGGUUGUUGAGGGCCUGCUCCAGUAGGGCUCGUUGUGCCACGGAGGGGAGGUAGAGGAAUGCGUAGAGCAGCCCCAGGACGAUGAGAGACAGGAGGAGGGGCAGUCCCCAGUCUGUUGUCAUGGUGAAGAGGUAGAGGAAGGUACUCCAGUCUGGUUGUUGAGGGCCUGCUCCAGUAGGGCUCGUUGUGCCACGGAGGGGAGGUAGAGGAAUGCGUAGAGCAGCCCCAGGACGAUGAGAGACAGGAGGAGGGGCAGUCCCCAGUCUGUUGUCAUGGUGAAGAGGUAGAGGAAGGUACUCCAGUCUGGUUGUUGAGGGCCUGCUCCAGUAGGGCUCGUUGUGCCACGGAGGGGAGGUAGAGGAAUGCGUAGAGCAGCCCCAGGACGAUGAGAGACAGGAGGAGGGGCAGUCCCCAGUCUGUUGUCAUGGUGAAGAGGUAGAGGAAGGUACUCCAGUCUGGUUGUUGAGGGCCUGCUCCAGUAGGGCUCGUUGUGCCACGGAGGGGAGGUAGAGGAAUGCGUAGAGCAGCCCCA